rnacentral:rRNA from 1 species
GGCAGGGUGAAGGUGGGUUAAAACCCACUGGAGGCCCGAACCGGUGGACAGUGAAAAGUCCUCGGAUGACCUGGGGGUAGGAGUGAAAAGCUAACCGAACCCGGUGAUAGCUGGUUCUCCCCGAAAUGCAUUGAGGUGCAGCCUCGGGCGGUCUGUGCAGGGGGUAGAGCACUGAUGGGGCUAGGGGGGUUUCCUCCGAACCCCGUCAAACUCCGAAUUCCUGCACACAAAGCCCGGGAGUGAGCCCGCGGGGGAUAAGCUCCGCGGACGAGAGGGGAACAACCCAGACCGCCGGCUAAGGGCCCGAAGAGGUGGCUAAGUGGUAAAGGAUGUGGAGUGCCUAAGACAGCUGGGAUGUUGGCUUAGAAGCAGCCAUCAUUUAAAGAGUGCGUAACAGCUCACCAGCCGAGGCGCUCUGCACCGAAAAUGUAACGGGGCUCAAGCCACCCCCCGAAGCCGCGGGUCAGUGCCUCCGCUGGAGGUACUGGCGGUAGGGGAGCUUUCCGCUGUAGGGUGAAGGCGGACCCGCGAGGGUCGCUGGACGAGGCGGAAGUGAGAAUGCGGGCAUGAGUAUACGAAAGGAGGGUGAGAAUCCCUCCCCCCGUAAGCCCAAGGGUACCUGGGGAAGGGUCGUCCGCCCAGGGUUAGCCGGGACCCUAAGGUGAACCCGAAAGGGGUAGCCGAAGGGAAGCCGGUUAAUAUUCCGGCGCCAUCUGCGGUCGAUGGUACGAGGGGUGACGCAGGAGGGUAGGCGCCGGGGGCAAGUGGCAUGCCCCUCCAAGCGGUUAGGGCGAUGACGGGCGUAGGUAAAUCCGCGCCCCGAGCCUGAGCCGUGAUGGGGAGGUCCCUUCGGGGACCAACGGCGCUGACCCCACACUGCCGAGAAAAACCUCGCGUACCGCUUGAGACCGUAGGUGCCCGUUCCGCAAACCGACACAGGUGGGCGGGCUGAGAAGGCUCAGGGGAGCGGGUGAACCCUCGCCAAGGAACUCGGCAAAUUGGCCCCGUAACUUCGGGAGAAGGGGUGCCGCGUUAGGGUGAACCCAGGGGAAGGGGCAACCCGGAAACUGGGGGAGCCCGAGGCGGUCGCAGUGACAAGGCCCUGGCGACUGUUUACCAAAAACACAGGUCUCUGCUAACUCGGAAAGAGGAAGUAUAGGGACUGACGCCUGCCCAGUGCCGGAAGGUUAAGGGGAGGGGUGAGGCUCCUCUUGUGGGAGCGUAGCUCCGACCCGAAGCCCCGGUAAACGGCGGCCGUAACUAUAACGGUCCUAAGGUAGCAUUCGCUGCCUGCCCACAGGGAAACCUGUGGGGCAAUACCCGGCUGUAUGCGGGGAAGCCCUUAGAGCCCUUCUUACCUGGGGGCUGCGGCCAGCCCAGGUAAAAAUGGAAGGGAUUGGGUAAUCCGCAGGAAACCCCGUGAGGGGGAUCCUCAGAGACUGUACGCCGGGCAUCCAGUCCCCGUGAGAAGGGGUGGAAAUCUUGGAUCUCAAACCUGAUUGGGUUGUUGGAUUCGUCGAUGGUGAAGGCUGUUUCUAUGUGGGUGUUAAUAGAAAUCGCACCAUGAAAACAGGUUACCAGGUUCUCCCUGAAUUCAGGAUCGUUCAACAUGAAAGAGAUAUACAGGUUUUGUACGCAUUGAGGAAGUUUUUCGGAUGCGGUGUUGUUCGAAGAAACCACGAUGAUCGAUACGAGCUUCGGAUCCGGAAGAGAUCUUGCUUGAAAAAAGUAGUGGAGUUUUUCGAAAAACACCCUCUGAAAACGAAGAAGAACGUCGACUUCAAGAAAUUCAGAAGGAUAAUCCUGAUGAUGGAACGGGGAGAACACCUGACGAAAGAAGGUCUCAUCAAGAUCCUGGAAAUAGCCAUGGAAAUAAACACAGGUAAUCACGAGAGACUACGACGAGUCCUUGAAGAGAUCCGGGGACUGGAUGAAGAUACAGUCCACCCCCAUUCCGAAAGGAUGGGAUAAAGGUGAGCGAAAUUCCUUGUCGGGUAAGUUCCGACCUGCAUGAAUGGCGUAACGACUGGGGCACUGUCUCGGCGGGGGGCCCGGUGAAAUUUCAGUCUGGGUGAAGAUGCCCAGUACCCGCGGCUAGACGGAAAGACCCCGUGGAGCUUUACUGCAGCCUGGUAUUGGGCUCCGGUGCAUCGUGUAUAGAAUAGGUGGGAGGCUGUGAAGCCGCCUCGCCAGGGGCGGUGGAGCCGCCAGUGGAAUACCACCCUCGGUGCACUGGAGUUCUAACCUGACCCUGUGAAGAGCAGGGUGGGGACAGUGCCAGGUGGGCAGUUUGACUGGGGCGGUCACCUCCUAAAAGGUAACGGAGGUGUGCAAAGGUCGGCUCAGGUGGGUUGGAAAUCCACCGCAGAGUGCAAGGGCAUAAGCCGGCCUGACUGCGAGGCCGACAGGCCGAGCAGGGGGGAAACCCGGCCCUAGUGACCCGGCGGUCCCGUGUGGAAGGGCCGUCGAUCAACGGAUAAAAGUUACCCCGGGGAUAACAGGCUGGUCCCGCCCGAGAGUUCACAUCGACGGCGGGGUUCGGCACCUCGAUGUCGGCUCAUCCCAUCCUGGGGCUGAAGCAGGUCCCAAGGGUUGGGCUGUUCGCCCAUUAAAGGGGUACGUGAGCUGGGUUCAGACCGUCGUGAGACAGGUCGGUCCCUAUCUGCCGCGGGCGUAGGAGGCUUGAGGGGGGUCCUCCCUUGUACGAGAGGACCGGGAGGAGGGGGCCUCUGGUGUACCGGCUGUCGCGCCAGCGGCAUACGCCGGGUAGCUAUGCCCCUAAGCGAUAACCGCUGAAAGCAUCUAAGCGGGAAGCGCGCCCCAAGAUUAGGCCUCCCAUCCCGUUAAGGGAGUAAGGCCGGUCCGAGAAGAGGACCUUGAUAGGCCAGGGGUGUAAGCGCCGCAAGGCGUUGAGCCCACUGGUACUAAUCGGCCGAGGCCUUGACCUC